rnacentral:lncRNA from 1 species
UAAACUUAAUACGAUUCACCUAUUUUUUCCAUUAUCGAGAGCUGUCUUAGAUCCUACGAAGGUAGAGUUUUAAGCUUCUCAUUUAAUUGAGAAACAUAUCACCCUUAUCAAGUUUGUUGUGGAUUCAGAAGGGAAGCAACAGUGAUGAUCUCCGUGAGUCGCUAUCACCCGGCUGCUCUGAAGGUGGCAUUAUGAUGUGGAUGAUCCUCUCGUGCCCAUGCCCCUGCAGUUUAGACAAUGCAAUGGAAUUGACAUGGUGUGAUGGUUUACUUCUGCCAAUUUGGAGGACAGAAGUAUGAUACUGCAUGACUUGGUUGUUUAAUACUCUGAAUUUAGUACUCAUGACUCAAAUGGAUUUGCCCUGAUGGCACAUGGCGUCCAUCUGCAGAAUCAGUUGAUAAUGAAGGCAGGCAAUACGCACGCGUCGAGGAAGCAAACUCUACCAUCCUAGGUGUACAAAUUUCUCCAUCGCAAUUCAUAAAUUCUCACAAGAGAUUUUCACCGGUUUCC